GCUGGGCAACACGCUGGUGUGCGCCGCCGUCAUCAAGUUCCGCCACCUGCGCUCCAAAGUCACCAACUCGUUCGUCAUCUCGCUGGCGGUGUCCGACCUGUUCGUGGCGGUGCUGGUGAUGCCCUGGAGGGCGGUGUCCGAGGUCGCCGGCGUCUGGCUCUUCGGCCGCUUCUGCGACACCUGGGUCGCCUUCGACAUCAUGUGCUCCACGGCCUCCAUCCUCAACCUGUGCGUCAUCAGCAUGGACCGCUACUGGGCCAUCUCCAGCCCGUUCAAGUACGAGCGCCGGAUGACGCGCAGGUUCGCCUUCCUGAUGAUCGGCGUCGCCUGGACUCUGUCCAUCCUCAUCUCCUUCAUCCCGGUGCAGCUCAGCUGGCACCGCGCGGACAACUCGACGGCGGAGAACCCGGACGACUGCAACGCCAGCCUGAACCGGACCUACGCCAUCUCCUCGUCCCUCAUCAGCUUCUACAUCCCCGUGGUGAUCAUGGUGGGGACGUACACGCGCAUUUUCCGCAUCGCGCAAACCCAAAUCCGACGGAUCUCCUCUCUGGAGCGGGCGGCGGGGCCCCGUGCGCAAAACCAGCGCGUCCACCGCGCGUCGGCGCACGACGAGAGCGCGCUCAAGACGUCGUUCAAGAGAGAAACCAAAGUGUUGAAGACUCUGUCCAUCAUCAUGGGGGUGUUCGUCUUCUGCUGGCUGCCGUUCUUCGUCCUGAACUGCGUGGUGCCGUUCUGCGACCCGGACCGAGCCGGGGAGCCGCCGUGCGUCAGCGACACCACCUUCAGCAUCUUCGUGUGGUUCGGCUGGGCCAACUCGUCCCUGAACCCCGUCAUCUACGCCUUCAACGCGGACUUCCGCAAGGCCUUCUCCACCAUCCUGGGCUGCCACCGGUACUGCGCCAGCUCCGCGGUGGAGGCGGUGGACUUCAGCAACGAGCUGGUGUCGUACCACCACGACACCACCAUGCAGAAGGAGGGCGCCGCCGCCGCGCCGGGCCCCGGGGCGCAGAGGCUCGCGCCGCCGCCUCACACCGGAGGAGACCCGCAGCAGAACUUCGACAACGUGUCCGCGAUGUCGGACGAGUCCCGGACCCAGAGGAACCUGCUGCAGUGCGAGUGCGAGGCGGAGAUCUGUCUGGACAUGACGCCCUUCGACUCUUACGGGCUCCCGGGUCAGAUCCAGGACCUGUGAGCCGCUCUGUGCCUCUGGGCUGUCAUCAGGGGUCUCCGCCCCCCUCACGCAGGGGCUGGGGUGGGUGACCUUUGACCUCCUGCUGUUGGGUACAGAUGCCAAAGUAGUUUUUUCCUGGUUGGACUUCAGUCACUCAAAGCAGAGGCUGUAUGGAAUGUGGAUAAUUGUUUUAUUCCCUGUGGUCUCAUGUCGGGGCCUCUCUCGGGGUCUGGGCCUUCAGGUUGGGAACCACAGAUCGCACUCCUCCAUGUUAUUCACAGAGACAAGACGGACACUUAUGAGGGUUAUUGUAAAAAUCUCUGUCACAAAUAAAUACGAGUGACAGAAACGAUAGAAAGAGCGACGCUCUCUGUGUCUGCAGAACUUGAGUCAGAAUCUUCAUGUUAAGUUUCCUUUAGCGUCACAGUGAAUCAGUGACAGUUGUCAGUUCGUCACUGGAUUCACUGUAAACACCAGCUGAUCAUAGUUAAUUCAGCAUAAUAACUAACACAAUGUAAACAACGAUAGAAACAGACAAACAGGAGGUCGUGAGGUCGAGCUGUGUGGGGUUUGUCCAGAGCAUCUAUGAAAAAAACCUUUUAAGUCAUUGACUAUAAGUGGAGAUGUUUUUUUUACAGUAUGAUGAUAAUCAUGAUGAUGAUAAGAUCAUACAAUGUUACAACAUUCUGUUGUGAGAUCAAAUAAUCUAUAUAAUGGUUUUACAACAGUUCUCUGACUAAGUGACGCCGCGGUCGAGCCGUUUGAUGUGAGUGUCCAUCUUCACCGAAGUGGCCUUUGAUAUGUUAAAGAUGGCCGCCACAACAAGGAAGGACAAUUAAAAACAAUGACAUCGCUUCGUCCAGUGUGUAAUUGGUCCUUCAGGCGGUUUGUGAUUGAAAACCAGACGAGUGGUCGAGUGUUGUGGCGUCCGUUCAGGUCGGACGGGGGGCGGGGCUCAGCGAACAGGGCUGGGUUAGUCUUAUUUUGUUCCCCUGGUUUCUGUUUCUCCAGCUGUUGCUAGGAAACUGUGCGGUCAUGUUGGACUUUAAUAGCAAUACAAACUAUCGGAGCAGUUUUCAGACCAACUGUCCCGGUGUCGUUGCUUUGUGUCUCUCUUUGUUGUUGUUGCCGGUUGUUAAACAAUUUUGAUAUACAGGUUUUGAUAUGAAAAAACAACAGAGAGCUUUGGUGCCCCCUAGUGGUUCCACGCAAAUUCUAAGACAUUUAACGUGAAAAGGCUUAACGUCACUUAUUUUGCCAAAGCAGUGAUGAAUAAUCACCAAAUUUCUCUCAGAUAUGCUUCGUCAUUAACACUUACACCUGUGAAGAAAGCAGACCUGAAAUCCUAUAAUUAUGGACGUUAUCUUACAUUAAGUCACGUAAAGCCUUUUCCUUCUAUUGUUAAAACGCUUAAUGGAAGAUAACUUCCAUAAUUGUAGGAUUUUUGGUUUGAUUUUUUCACAGGUGUAAGUGUUUAUGACGAAACAUAUCUGAGAAUAAUUUGGUGAUUAUUGAUCGCUGCUUUAGCUCAUUUAGUGAUGUUAAGCCUUUUUCACGUUAAGCGUUUUAACGUCUGUCAGAGGUUCACUCGGUUUUUCUAACUCUCCUUCACCUGCUUUUCUUCUUUUUCUCUGAGGUUGAGUUGUUUCUAUCAGUCCGGCUGUUCAAUCUGAGGAAAGAUACCAGAAGAAUUGAUUUCUUUUCCCUGUUUCUCAGUCUCUUCCCCUUUUUGUUUUGCCAAUAUACUUCUGAUUAUGGUUAUUGCUUGGUCCAGAGAGAAAUAAAGAUGUUUCUUUUCAUUCACAUGUUCCACUCUCCAGUGGAGCAUCUUGUUCCUUAGAGAGGAUGUAAUGUGGUUACUAUGGGCGACGCAGUUUCCUUUGUGCCGAGAAAUCAAGUUUUAUGGUGAAAACGGUGUCCAACGCGGUGAUAUCAAGACUUACACGAAGAUAAGGAUGAUGUCGUGUUCCUAUCAACAUCACAGAUCUGUCUCCAUCUUACAGAGCAGCCGAGUGUGAAAACAUGAAAAUGUCUUUUUAAAUCAAUGGAACGUGGCGCCUGGUCUUGGUCCUCAGUGUGGAGACAUUUAUUCAGACAAUCACUUAAAACUGGUGGUUUCUCCUGCAGUGUCGCUCUGAAGUGACUCCACAGCGAAUCAAAGAGACCAGACACAAUCGCAGCCUUCUUCUGCGGCUGCACAUCAAAGUGGAGUGUUUGCUACCAACAGCUCUCAGGGCCACUUGUCUGUGUUGCUCGCCGAUGACCUUUGACCUUGAGUGGCGGCAGCAGCGAUGCUUCUGUAUGUGGAACAAAAGCUUCAAACGGCGAGGCAGCAGGGAACUCACCGCGGCUCUACAGUCAGUCAUGACGCACCAUGUCCACUUUUCCUUUUGCAUUUUAAGGUGUUGAUGCCAAUCUCCUUGAGCUCGCAGUGACAAACUCCUCAGCACGUCCAGAGUGAUCUGCACACACUUCAACACACACAAACACACGUCAUCUGUUCACGGGAAGUGUCUAACAAAUUUA